GAUGAACGCUGGCGGCGUGCCUAAUACAUGCAAGUCGAGCGAACAGACGAGGAGCUUGCUCCUCUGACGUUAGCGGCGGACGGGUGAGUAACACGUGGAUAACCUACCUAUAAGACUGGGAUAACUUCGGGAAACCGGAGCUAAUACCGGAUAAUAUAUUGAACCGCAUGGUUCAAUAGUGAAAGACGGUUUUGCUGUCACUUAUAGAUGGAUCCGCGCCGCAUUAGCUAGUUGGUAAGGUAACGGCUUACCAAGGCGACGAUGCGUAGCCGACCUGAGAGGGUGGUCGGCCACACGAGAACUGAGACACGGUCCAGACUCCUACGGGAGGCAGCAGUAGGGAAUCUUCCGCAGAGGGCGAGAGCCUGACGGAGCAACGCCGCGUGAGUGAUGAAGGUCUUCGGAUCGUAAAACUCUGUUAUUAGGGAAGAACAAAUGUGUAAGUAACUAUGCACGUCUUGACGGUACCUAAUCAGAAAGCCACGGCUAACUACGUG
rnacentral:rRNA from 1 species